rfam:Plesiocystis pacifica SIR-1 1103186006295, whole genome shotgun sequence.
GCGCGCGUAGCUCAGCUGGAUAGAGCGUUGGCCUCCGGAGCCAAAGGCCGCAGGUUCGAACCCUGCCGCGCGCA